rnacentral:rRNA from 1 species
CCAAUAGCGUAUAUUAAAGUUGUUGCAGUUAAAAAGCUCGUAGUUGAACUUCGGGAUCAAUGAGUUGGUCGUGCCAUUGGUAUGAACUGGCUUUAUUGGUUCUCACCUUCUAAUGAACCAUAAUGUCAUUCAUUUGAUGUUUUGGGGAAUUAGGACUGUUACCUUGAAAAAAUUAGAGUGUUUAAAGCAGGCUCACGCUUGAAUACAUUAGCAUGGAAUAAUGAAAUAGGACAUCGCAUUCUAUUUUGUUGGUUUCUAGGAUCGAUGUAAUGAUUAAUAGGGAUAGUUGGGGGCAUUAGUAUUCAAUUGUCAGAGGUGAAAUUCUUGGAUUUAUUGAAGACUAACUACUGCGAAAGCAUUUGCCAAGGAUGUUUUCAUUAAUCAAGAACGAAAGUUAGGGGAUCGAAGACGAUCAGAUACCGUCGUAGUCUUAACCAUAAACUAUGCCGACUAGGGAUCGGAUGAUGUUGAUUUUUUAAUGACUCAUUCGGCACCUUACGG